UACGGGGGGGGCAAGCGUUGUUCGGAAUUACUGGGCGUAAAGGGCUCGUAGGCGGCCAACUAAGUCGGCCGUGAAAUCCCUCGGCUUAACCGGGGAACUGCGUCCGAUACUGGAUGGCUUGAGUUUGGGAGAGGGAUGCGGAAUUCCAGGUGUAGCGGUGAAAUGCGUAGAUAUCUGGAGGAACACCGGUGGCGAAGGCGGCAUCCUGGACCAACACUGACGCUGAGGAGCGAAAGCCAGGGGAGCAAACGGG
rnacentral:rRNA from 1 species